UGUAGGUCUGGCUGUGCAAACUGCUGCAGGUGCGGCUGUGUUGCUGUGUGGACUGCUUGUUUCUGCAGACUCCUCUCUGUCUGUGCUCAGACUCUGCUGCCAUCUAGUGGUCUUCUGUCCAUACGGCGUCUCUACUGGUCUGAUGCUGUCCAUCUGCUGCAGCAGGAAGACAGGAAACAAACCAGCCGUCUCCAUGGAGAUGACCCAGCGGGUUGGAGGAAGUGACGAAUUUGAUGGCGAUUACAAUGACAUCACUGCUGAUGUCACCACUGAGCACGCCUUCUGAGCUGUGAACAGAGUGACAGCAGCUGUCUUUAAAAUGGACUCUGAUCAAUAACAUGAUGGAUCUGAAGAUGAGAGUUUCUAUCAUCUGCUCUUAUGGAGAUGCUGCUGGAGAGCAUUGUCUUACACGUUGCUCCAGAAUCUUCCACAGGUGUGAAACCGGGUUGAGAUCUGGUGACUGUAAAGGCCGCAGCAUUUUAUUCACAUCAUUUUCAUCCUCACCAAAGCGUUCAGUGACCCUGCUGCACGAAGCAUCUGCAUCUGAUGUUCCUCCUCUCUUUGAUUCAGCUUCUUCCUUUCAUUUGUCCCCGUCUGUUUGUGGUAGAAGCCCUGCUUUUUGGUAGAUUUGCUAAAACCCCCUCAGCUCCAUUGUAGAAAAGGAGGAGGAGUUCUGAGGGAAGUCAGAUCUUUGAAGACCUUUUGGACCUUCUAGGUCUUUCAGAGCUCUUUUCCUUUUUGCUCAGACCUUUUGUCAGCUUUUACAUUUCUGCAGCCUUUUCAGACUCAGGAAUUCUGUUUGGUUUCUUUCCUCUUUUUAUUCUCUUCUAUCUCAAAGUGUUUCUGGACGUAGGCUUUGUUUGUUUUUAAGCUUUGCUAAAUAAAACCAGGUAGAUCAUUUUGAUCUGUUGAAAGGUUGAUGAUUCUCUGGACCUGAUCCUUUCAUCCCCUCAUCCAAGGCUUCCUUCACAACAUUUCAGUAAGGCCCCUUGUUUUCUAACAAGUCUCUAAAAUGUCAGGAAUGCUAAUCUCUGUUCCUCAAGAGAGGGAGCAGCUGUAGAGGUGUUAGGACAGGAACCUGAGGCAGAGGAGAAGCCUAGUGCGAGGG